rnacentral:rRNA from 1 species
AGUUUGAUCCUGGCUCAGGACGAACGCUGGCGGCGUGCUUAACACAUGCAAGUCGAACGCUGAAGCUUGGGUGCUUGCAUCUGGGUGGAUGAGUGGCGAACGGGUGAGUAAUACGUGAGUAACCUGCCCUUGACUCUGGGAUAAGCCUGGGAAACUGGGUCUAAUACUGGAUACUACAUUCUCUCGCAUGGGGGUGUGUGGAAAGGGUUUUACUGGUUUUGGAUGGGCUCACGGCCUAUCAGCUUGUUGGUGGGGUAAUGGCCUACCAAGGCGACGACGGGUAGCCGGCCUGAGAGGGUGACCGGCCACACUGGGACUGAGACACGGCCCAGACUCCUACGGGAGGCAGCAGUGGGGAAUAUUGCACAAUGGGCGAAAGCCUGA